rnacentral:rRNA from 1 species
GGGGAAUUUUGGACAAUGGGCGAAAGCCUGAUCCAGCCAUGCCGCGUGAGUGAAGAAGGCCUUCGGGUUGUAAAGCUCUUUUAGUCGGAAAGAAAGAGUUGCAAUGAAUAAUUGUGAUUUAUGACGGUACCGACAGAAAAAGCACCGGCUAACUACGUGCCAGCAGCCGCGGUAAUACGUAGGGUGCGAGCGUUAAUCGGAAUUACUGGGCGUAACGGGUGCGCAGGCGGUCUUGCAAGUCAGAUGUGAAAGCCCCGGGCUUAACCUGGGAAUUGCGUUUGAGACUACAAGGCUAGAGUGCAGCAGAGGGGAGUGG